ACCUACGGGAGGCAGCAGUAGGGAAUCUUCCACAAUGGGCGAAAGCCUGAUGGAGCAACGCCGCGUGGGUGAAGAAGGUCUUCGGAUCGUAAAACCCUGUUGUUAGAGAAGAAAGUGCGUGAGAGUAACUGUUCACGUUUCGACGGUAUCUAACCAGAAAGCCACGGCUAACUACGCGCCAGCAGCCGCGGUAAUACGUAGGUGGCAAGCGUUAUCCGGAUUUAUUGGGCGUAAAGGGAACGCAGGCGGUCUUUUAAGUCUGAUGUGAAAGCCUUCGGCUUAACCGGAGGAGUGCAUUGGAAACU
rnacentral:rRNA from 1 species